UCCGAGUUGACCCCGGCAGUCUCCUAUGAGUCCCCGGCAUAACCCGCUGGCAACAUAGAACGAGGGUUGCGCUCGUUGCGGGACUUAACCCAACAUCUCACGACACGAGCUGACGACAACCAUGCACCACCUGUAAACCGGCCACAAGUGGGGCGCCUGUUUCCAGGCGUUACCGGUUCAUGUCAAGCCUUGGUAAGGUUCUUCGCGUUGCAUCGAAUUAAUCCGCAUGCUCCGCCGCUUGUGCGGGCCCCCGUCAAUUCCUUUGAGUUUUAGCCUUGCGGCCGUACUUCCCAGGCGGGGCACUUAAUGCGUUAGCUACGGCACGGAGCCCGUCGAUCGAGCCCCACACCUAGUGCCCAACGUUUACGGCGUGGACUAC
rnacentral:misc_RNA from 1 species